UAAUUCCGUGCCAGCAGCCGCAGUAAUAGGGAGUGUGCUAGCGUUAAUCGGAAUUACUGGGCGUAACGCGCACGCUGGCGGUCUGUUAAGUCAGAUAUGACAUCCUCUGGCUUAACCUGGGAACUGCAUUUGAGACUGGCAGGCUUGAGUCUUGUAGAGGGCGGUAGACUUCCAGGUGCAGCGGUGAAAUGCGUAGAGAUCUGGAGGAAUACCGGUGGCGAAGGCGGCCCCCUGGACAAAGACUGACGCUCAGGUGCGAAAGCGUGUGGAGCAAACAGGAUUAGAUACCCUGGUAGUCCACGCCGUAAACGAUGUCGACUUGGAGGUUGUUCCCUUGAGGAGUGGCUUCCGGAGCUAACGCGUUAAGUCGACCGCCUGGGGAGUACGGCCGCAAGGUUAAAACUCAAAUGAAUUGACGGGGGCCCGCACAAGCGGUGGAGCAUGUGGUUUAAUUCGAUGCAACGCGAAGAACCUUACCUACUCUUGACAUCCAGGGAAUUUGGCAGAGAUGCUUUAGUGCCUUCGGGAACCGUGAGACAGGUGCUGCAUGGCUGUCGUCAGCUCGUGUUGUGAAAUGUUGGGUUAAGUCCCGCAACGAGCGCAACCCUUAUCCUUUGUUGCCAGCGAUUCGGUCGGGAACUCAAAGGAGACUGCCGGUGAUAAACCGGAGGAAGGUGGGGAUGACGUCAAGUCAUCAUGGCCCUUACGAGUAGGGCUACACACGUGCUACAAUGGCGCAUACAAAGAGAAGCGACCUCGCGAGAGCAAGCGGACCUCACAAAGUGCGUCGUAGUCCGGAUCGGAGUCUGCAACUCGACUCCGUGAAGUCGGAAUCGCUAGUAAUCGUGGAUCAGAAUGCCACGGUGAAUACGUUCCCGGGCCUUGUACACACCGCCCGUCACACCAUGGGAGUGGGUUGCAAAAGAAGUAGGUAGCG
rnacentral:rRNA from 1 species